rnacentral:rRNA from 1 species
UUCGAGUGGCGGACGGGUGAGUAACGCGUGGGUAACCUGCCGUUACACAGGGGAUAACACCUGGAAACAGGUGCUAAUACCGCAUAAGCGCACAGGGCCGCAUGGCCCGGUGUGAAAAACUCCGGUGGUGUAAGAUGGACCCGCGUCUGAUUAGCUUGUUGGCGGGGUAGGGGCCCACCAAGGCGACGAUCAGUAGCCGGCCUGAGAGGGUGGACGGCCACAUUGGGACUGAGACACGGCCCAAACUCCUACGGGAGGCAGCAG